rnacentral:tRNA from 1 species
UCAUCGGUAGCUCAAUAGUGGAACACCCGGCUGUUAACCGGUAGGCUGGCGGUUCAAGUCCAUCCUGAGGAUCCA